rnacentral:rRNA from 1 species
CCUACGGGUGGCAGCAGUGGGGAAUAUUGCACAAUGGGCGAAAGCCUGAUGCAGCAACGCCGCGUGAAUGAAGAAGGGUUUCGGCUCGUAAACUUCUAUCAACCGGGACGAAGGAAGUAACGGUACCUAAAUAAGAAGCCCCGGCUAACUACGUGCCAGCAGCCGCGGUACUACGUAGGGGGCAAGCGUUAUACGGAAUUACUGGGUGUAAAGGGUGAGUAGGCGGCAUGGUAAGCCAGAUGUGAAAGCCCUGGGCUUAACCCGAGGAUUGCAUUUGGAACUAUCAAGCUAGAGUACAGGAGAGGAAAGUGGAAUUCCUAGUGUAGCGGUGAAAUGCGUAGAUAUGAGGAAGAAUACCAGUGGCGAAGGCGG